GACGUAGGGCGCGAGCGUUGUCCGGAAUUAUUGGGCGUAAAGAGCUCGUAGGUGGCCUGUCGCGUCGGCUGUGAAAACUCGGGGCUCAACUCCGAGCUUGCAGUCGAUACGGGCAGGCUAGAGUUCGGCAGGGGAGACUGGAAUUCCUGGUGUAGCGGUGAAAUGCGCAGAUAUCAGGAGGAACACCGGUGGCGAAGGCGGGUCUCUGGGCCGAUACUGACGCUGAGGAGCGAAAGCGUGGGGAGCGAACAGG
rnacentral:rRNA from 1 species